AAAUAAGGGUUUAGGUGGCGUUUUUUUAACGGCGUUUUUUAAAACGUCACUAUUUUUAAUAUUUUACGGCGUUUUAUAAACGUCUUGUUUUUUUUUACUUGAAACGGCGCCGUUUUAUGAAUAGGAGGCGUUUUUUUACGCCUUCAAAUGCAUGUUGUCUCACGCGCUUCCUUUUCCAAUCUGAGAAUCUCAACUCCAAAUUGAAUCGAUGCACUCACAAAUAAGCUCUCUCUCUCCCCGCUGUCUAAACCCUCAGAAAUUGAAGUUGCUUAUCAAUGGAAUGCUCAGAAAUUGAAGUUCUCUCUCGAAAUCGAAGUGAUUCAUCAGAGUGAUUUCGAAGUUCAUCUCAGGAUUCAGAUCUCGAAAUCGAAGUUCAUAUCUCGAAAUUUUAAAAUUCUGAGUUCAAAUCACUUCGAUUUCAUAUUGCAAUUCAAAUUUGAGUUUAUAUCACUUCGAUUUUGAUUUAGAUCUGAGUUCAUAUCACUUCAAUUUCGAUUCAGAUCGUGAUUCAGAUCUCGGCGAUUCAGAUCGGUCUCAGUGAUUCAUAUCUCGAAAUCGAAAUCGAAGUUCGAUUCAGAUCGUGAUUCAGGUAUCAUCGAUUCAGAUCGGUCUCAGUGAUUCACAUCUUGAAAUCGAAAUCGAAGGUCAUCUCAGCGAUUCAGAUCGGUGAUUCAGCUUGGUGAUUCAGAGGUUCAAAUCGAUCUCAGCGAUUCAGAUCGGUGAUGAAGACAGUAAGAUUACCACUGUUCAACUAAGGUUACUGCAAUUUUUCCACAAAACAUUAUCACAUGUUCAGGAGACACAACUUAUGAUGAUGACAGAAUUUGAUUUCAGAGGGCACGAUUCUGCAUUCAAAGACCGAUAUCUGCAAUUACAAAAUGUUCGGGUGAGCGUUGGGAAUGCCCUGCACUCAAAUUUCUCUGACAACCCUGACCAAGAAUCUAUUAAACAGGAAAAGCUGAUCCUUGGAAUGCUGAGCCCUAUCGAUGAAUUCUCCAACAUAAAUAGUAGGAACAACCAGUGAAUGAUACUAAACAGAAAGCAAAGGUGUGAUGU